GAGGAAUAUUGGUCAAUGGACGGAAGUCUGAACCAGCCAAGUAGCGUGCAGGAUGACGGCCCUAUGGGUUGUAAACUGCUUUUGUAUGGGGAUAAAGUUAGGGACGUGUCCCUAUUUGCAGGUACCAUACGAAUAAGGACCGGCUAAUUCCGUGCCAGCAGCCGCGGUAAUACGGAAGGUCCAGGCGUUAUCCAGAUUUAUUGGGUUUAAAGGGAGCGUAGGCUGGAGAUUAAGUGUGUUGUGAAAUGUAGACGCUCAACGUCUGAAUUGCAGCGCAUACUGGUUUCCUUGAGUACGCACAACGUUGGCGGAAUUCGUCGUGUAGCGGUGAAAUGCUUAGAUAUGACGAAGAACUCCGAUUGCGAAGGCAGCUGACGGGAGCGCAACUGACGCUUAAGCUCGAAGGUGCGGGUAUCAAACAGGAUUAGAUACCCUGGUAGUCCGCACAGUAAACGAUGGAUGCCCGCUGUUGGUACCUGGUAUCAGCGGCUAAGCGAAAGCAUUAAGCAUCCCACCUGGGGAGUACGCCGGCAACGGUG
rnacentral:rRNA from 1 species